UACAGAGGUCUCAAGCGUUGUUCGGAUUCAUUGGGCGUAAAGGGUGCGUAGGCGGCGCGGUAAGUCGGGUGUGAAAUCUUGGAGCUUAACUCCGAAACUGCAUUCGAUACUGCCGUGCUUGAGGACUGGAGAGGAGACUGGAAUUUACGGUGUAGCGGUGAAAUGCGUAGAGAUGUGGAGGAACACCAGUGGCGAAGGCGACUCUUUGGCCUGUAACUGACGCUGAGGCGCGAAAGCGUGGGGAGCAAACAGG
rnacentral:rRNA from 1 species